GGGCUUGAAUAUGGCUUCGACGGAUGUGAUUUCAUAAUAUUUCUGGCAAGCCAAGAGUUUGUAUGACCUCUUGUUAAUCAAUCAUACUAAAUACGACAAACGCCAAAACAUUUGUCCAGCAGGUUCGCGAAUUUGCCUCACGGCUUGUUCCACAACCUGCGCUAGCUUUAGCUUAAUCGCUUUAGCCGAUUUACUCGAUGUUGCUAUCUAGUCGAACUAAAUCGUCACAAAUGAUAGCUUUGAGAUGGUGUUUGACUAUGCACCUUUCAAAUACAUUUAGUCUAUAAUUAGAGACUAUUUUGUCUUGAUUGAAGUCUUUAAUCGAAUAUUUUAUCGAGACUAAGCUUGUAGAAAGAAAUAUUAUGCACAUUCGGACCGGGGUUCGACUCCCCGCAAGUCCACUU
rnacentral:tmRNA from 1 species